GGCAGUUUACACUAUGAACAAUAAGAAAAUAAAAAGACAGAAACAUAAAAUAAAAAGAUGAAAGAUCCAGAUAACAACCACUGCUCUUGGCACCGGAUAGAACAUUAUGAAAACAACUAAUAUUAUACUAGGCUUGUGUGGGGGGGGGGGUAAUCAUGUUGUGAUGGUGAGAGCCGGACUAGUGAACUUAAAUACCAGCUUUUUACUUCGUCUCAGAGGACAUGUUCCAGGCUGAUUACGCUGUUUAACCUAUCAGCUGACCACAUCUAGGUCCAGUUAACCAGACAGAUUAACCCUUCAGUGUCUGGAUAGGUGCUGACCACAUCUAGGUCCAGUUAACCAGACAGAUUAACCCUUCAGUGUCUGGAUAGGUGCUGACCACAUCUAGGUCCAGUUAACCAGACAGAUUAACCCUUCAGUGGCUGGAUAGGUGCUGACCACAUCUAGGUCCAGUUAACCAGACAGAUUAACCCUUCAGUGUCUGGAUAGGUGCUGACCACAUCUAGGUCCAGUUAACCAGACAGAUUAACCCUUCAGUGUCUGGAUAGGUGCUGACCACAUCUAGGUCCAGCUAACCAGACAGAUUAACCCUUCAGUGGCUGGAUAGGUGCUGACCACAUCUAGGUCCAGCUAACCAGACAGAUUAACCCUUCAGUGUCUGGAUAGGUGCUGACCACAUCUAGGUCCAGUUAACCGGACAGAUUAACCCUUCAGUGUCUGGAUAGGUACUGACCACAUCUAGGUCCAGUUAACCAGACAGAUUAACCCUUCAGUGGCUGGAUAGGUGCUGACCACAUCUAGGUCCAGUUAACCAGACAGAUUAAACCUUCAGUGUCUGGAUAGGUGCUGACCACAUCUAGGUCCAGUUAACCAGACAGAUUAAACCUUCAGUGUCUGGAUAGGUGCUGACCACAUCUAGGUCCAGUUAACCAGACAGAUUAACCCUUCAGUGUCUGGAUAGGUGCUGACCACAUCUAGGUCCAGUUAACCGGACAGAUUAACCCUUCAGUGGCUGGAUAGGUGCUGACCACAUCUAGGUCCAGUUAACCGGACAGAUUUAAGUCUGGUACCUGUUUCAAAAUGUAUUCCAAUGAAAAAUCUCCAUGGAGAAUGUUUAGUCCAGGACAAAUCUGUGUCUGGGAAACAGAUACCAUAGGAUGUAGCAAUCUGAUACCCGACGGUGAAGUCCAUGACGUGGCAUAGAACCAUUGGUUGUGGUGUGCAGCUCGACUGGAACAGACCUAAUCAGCACAACUUUCAGAUUGAACCAUGUUUUAUAUAUCAUGACCCUCACACAACCCCACUCCUGAACCCCCGACCUUUGAACCCCACUACCGUCACUCAGGUCAGGGGGUCAUGUCCCUUAUAAUCAUCUUCACCAUCAUCAUCAUCAUCAUCAUCAAUUCUUCAUUAAAAACAAGGAGGAAUUUUCAUAUGACAUAUGCUUCGUUUUAAAAUGGUCGUUCAC